rnacentral:lncRNA from 1 species
UCAAAAAUAUUUAUUUGAAGGUCUGCUGUUGAAUCAUUUUAUAGAGUACUUUCAGUAGUCCUCUCACUAGUUACUAGACAAGCACUAAAACUUAUUAAAUAAUGCUAUACAUUAAAAAGGACUUGCUUGCCUGAAAUUUUAACCACCCAUUUACUUAUAGCAUAUAUCACCACCAUAUGAGCAAAUGAAAGUCAUACAUAACAAGUCCUAUGGGAGAACUCUGCUUCAUCUAUUAUUCUUUAACGUCUCAUCUACAUUUCUUUUCCAAUCAGUCUACAUAUAUAGGAUUGUUAGUAUAACAAAAACGGAGCAAUUGCUUAUGUCUGUCAAAAAUAUUUAUUUGAAGGUCUGCUGUUGAAUCAUAUAUAACGAAAACGGAGCAAUUGCUUAUGUCUGUCAAAAAUAUUUAUUUGAAGGUCUGCUGUUGAAUCAUUUUAUAGAGUACUUUC